rnacentral:rRNA from 1 species
GGUGGUGUCGCUUGUUCAGCGCUUCUGGCGUGCAUUCUGGCGAUACCUUGUCGUUGUGGCUGGUUGGUACGUGAUUUUGACGUACCGGCUGGUGAGGGCUCCCUUUUCGGUGAGGACAACGACAAAAUGACGCAAUACGACCCGUCUUGAAACACGGACCAAGGAGUCUAGCACGGCUGCGAGUCGAAGGGUGUAAAACCCAAGGGCGCAGUGAAAGCGAAUUUAUAAGCAAAUUGGGGAGGCGUGGAGUUUUUAACAAAAUGUCCUACCUUGAGCAUUUGUGCUGGGACCCGAAAGAUGGUGAACUAUGCCGGAGUAGGGCAAAGCCAGAGGAAACUCUGGUGGAGGCUCGUAGCGAUGCUGACGUGCAAAUCGCUCGUCGAACUUGGGUAUAGGGGCGAAAGACUAAUCGAACCAUCUAGUAGCUGGUUCCCUCCGAAGUUUCUCUCAGGAUAGCGGGCCGACAUAUGUUGUUUUGUGCGGUAAAGCGAAUGAUUAGUGCAUUUGGGGUCUGAUAGACUUCGGGCGAUUCUCAAACUUUAAAUGCGCAAGGGGGUGGCUGCUUAAUUGAGCCUACUCUUUGAAAAACGUCGGCCCUGUGGGCCACUUUUGGUAAGCAGAACUGGCGAUAAGGGAUGAACCUUAAGCGCGGUUAAGGCGCCGCAUUGCCCGCUUAUAGACCCCACAAAAGGUGUUGAUUCAUUUAGACAGCAGGACGGUGGCCAUGGAAGUCGGAAUCCGCUAAGGAGUGUGUAACAACUCACCUGCCGAAUGAAUUAGCCCUGAAAAUGGAUGGCGCUUAAGCGGGCAGCCGACACCGCGCCGUUCCGGCGAGACGAUGCCGGGAUGAGUAGGAGGGCGUGGCGGUCAGUGACGCAGGCGAGGGUGCAGACCCCGCUGAAACGGCCGCUAGUGCAGAUCUUGGUGGUAGUAGCAAAUAUUCAAGCGAGAUCCUUGAAGGGCGAAGCGGGGAAGGGUUCCACGCAAACAUUGAUUGGGCGUGGGUGAGUCGUUCCUAAGCCGAGUGGCAAUUGCUAAGUAGCGGCGAAAGGGAAGCGGGUUAAAAUUCCCGCACACGGAUAUGGAGGCGGCGACGCAAGCAGAGGCAAAUACGCUGGCGAGGGCGCUGGGCAGAGUUGUCUUUUCUGUUUGACCGGCAUCGCGCUGUGUGGAAUCCGCUUAUCGGGAGAAACACGCGCGGGGAGGGGCAGAGCGUCAGGUCUUUUCUGGCGUCCGGCUCGCCCUCGACGGCCCUUGAAAAUUUGCCCGCGAACUUAAAUUUCAUGCUGUGACGUACCGAUAACCGCAUCAGGUCCCCAAGGUGAACAGCCUCUGCUCAAUAUGAACAAUGCAGGUAAGGGAAGUCGGCAAAAUAGACCCGUAACUUUGGGAAAAGGGUUGGCUCUAGUGGAGCGGGGGUUUUCAAAGGGAGCUCACCUGUGCUUGCCGCAGGGCGGGUGUGGCUAGCUCACGCUGGACGUGCCUGCUCCGCGUCUUGCGCGGGGGACGUUUCUCGCCCUCAGCAUGCUCCAAACUAGAACUGCAACGGGCAAAGGGAAUCCGACUGUUUAAUUAAAACAAAGCAUGCGAAG